GACAAAUUGUGUGAUUUUGUCACGAGAUAAUUCUAAACUCUUUGCAAUGGUUUUCUUCUAGCUGGAACUACACAAGCUACCACUCCAGGUACAACGGGCGGAAAAACAAUGAAGCCAACUAGUAAGUUAUGGACAGAAACACUCUGUAAUAUUAAGUUACAUAUUUCAAAGACUUUGGCCAAGAUUUGCUUUUCAAUCAAAGUGUGAAAUUAAAAUUUUCUUGGUAAAAUUUAUGUCAUCUUCCAUAAGCAGUAAAGUAGUAUAUUCAGACAAAUUUCCUUUUUAAACAAAAUGUGACCCAUUAAUGUGACCCUACUAUUAUUUUGCUCUGUCUAGUGCCAGAUUAUUUUACUUUAUUUAUUACUGUCUGUUGUAUGUAUGAUUAUUUUACUCAUCAAGUGGAGAGUGCUGGCACUCUAUGGUUUAACAAGACUUUAAUAAAUUUAAUAUAAGUUGAAAGUUCUUUUUGCAAGUCUCCACAAUAAUAAUGUAAUUCUUAGUUUAAUACUGUGUAUCUAAUGUGGUAAAUGCGCCUAGCAGUAUUAGACUUAAUAUGAAAUCCGAUAGCAAAAACUUUGUUAUAUUACAGGGUUCGAAAUAACGGUUCGUGAAUCACUAAUCAAUUUUCAUUUUUCAUGAACCCAAUUUCAUAGAAAUUGAUCAAAAUCACGAAUCAAAAGUCUCUCAAAUUGAUAAAAAAUACAAUAAUAAAUUUGUAAAUGUGAUGAAGAAUCAUAUAUUCUGAAGAUAUUGAUGUUAGAUUGUACUUAACUCUUUGCGGACCCAGCCCAAAUCAUUCAUCCGCGAGCGGUUGAUAGCUUUGUGUUUUCAUAUCUUCGGUUCAGUGCAUGCUAUGAAGACAGAAAUACCACCAUUCGAUUCAGAAAUAAAAGAUUCAACUAAUUCCUCACUAUAGUUUUAGUCAUUAUGAACAUUGUAACGAUUUAUGGGCCUUUGAAGUCAAAUAUGAUCAUAUUGUAUCAAAUUACGCAAUUGUCUGAACAAAAAUAUAGACUAAGCCAUACCUUUCGCCGAAAAUAACUUUGGCCCCUUCGAACAUAUCGUCUUUGCAAUAGUCUUGUUCGAAUCCCCAUCAAAAACGCUAUCUACAGUGUUAUUUGCACGCCUGUAGCUUCAAAUCUGUAUCUUUCAUCAAUAUAUUUCCAUUUCUUGUCCGACUGUGAGCUCGAAGUGAGUUAAUCCCAACCGGAAAUACGACUGAAAACCAUCAAAACAAUGCGAUGUUUGUAUCGUAUGACCCUGGAAAGGCCAGAAAUGGAUUCGGAAGGUCAAAUUGCAUCUACACGUGUGAGUUUGACAUCAUCCCGGCCACAGGAGCCUUCUUAUUGGCCGAUUAUUGUGCAAUGUACGUGAUUGUGACGUGUGAGAGUAAAACCCGACAUCUUGAAAAAGUCAAAAUAAAUAUUUCUACUCGCCGUACUCAAACGAAAUUUUGUACACGAAAGCGCUUGAAUACAAAGAGUAUUUUACACAUAUAGCCGUUCCGCAAAUUACAAAAAGUUCAAGAGAUAUUCAAGAUCUUGUGGAUAUGAAAUUUAGAAUCUUAGGCCAAGCGGUGAGUAAAGACAGUAAAUAUAUGAUUGUUUCGGUUUGUGUUAUUUCUGACGGCACUUGACCCCCCGUUCGAAAGGUUAUUUGGUAAGGAUUACAAUGGUGGCUUUUAUUUAAAAAGGGGGUAAAUACUCGCUGAGAUAUUUAUAUUAGAAAAAUUGUGUCCUAAUGUAAUGCGAAACCGCACAGCUUGGAACGGUCGUGAAAGAGUUAAAAACGAGUAUAAUUCCACCCAAAAUUAUAUUUCUUUGCGAGUUUGCAAUGUAUAUUAUAUUUUUGAAAAUUGCAGUGCUUCCACUUUAAAAAACUUCCAAUUAGAGAAAAUUCCUUGAAAAUUCUUUAAAAUUUCCUUAAAAUAAAAAAAUUGAUUCACGAACCAUUUUUUCAGAAUUAAUUCGAACCCUGUAUUAUUUACCUGUACGUCUUAAGAAUGCUUUGUCAUUUGUAUUUAUACGUACACUAUUAAAAGCAGUGCGUAAUUCAACAGAUUCCACUUGCCAGCACUUGGUCUUGGAAAUAUUAUGUAUUCAUGCUGUAUGUCUUAAGAAUGCUUUGUCCUUUGUAUUUAUUUGCGUACUUGCGCAGCGCGUAGUUGAACAGAUUCCACUUGGUCUUGAAAAUAUAUAUUCUUGGUUAUUCUUUAGUGAAGGAUGAACUCGACAAUCAGUUGGGGAAAUACUUACCCUUCAACUAUUCAGCCACUUUUUGUGCUGCAAAAAAGGGCUAUCUGUAUUAUGACUUUUUCCAAAUUUGAUGAGCACUCUAGCCCAAUAAUUAAAUCGUUGAAGAUUAUAAAGCUGUGUGAUCUUGUCACUCUACAUAUUGCAAUAUUUAUAUUUAAAUUUCAUCGUCAGAUGUUACCUCCUGCCUUUAACUUGUUUUUCACGCCAGUGAAAAAUGUCCAUUAAAUUAUAAUACACGUUCACUGGCUACACAGUCUUACUAUCUCCCCAAAAUAAGAACAAAUUAUGGUAAAUUCAAUGUACGAUUUCAAGGACCUAUAGUUUGGAAUGCAAUUGGUAUUCAUGUUAAGUCUCUUUCAUUUAAAAAAUUCAAAAAAUAUUUCAAACAAGUUUUAAUUGUACUAGAUAAAACAUGAGCAGCCGAUCUGUAUCUGAUAUACAAACUCGAGCCAAAGGCGAGAGUUUGUAUAUCAGAUACAGAUCGGAUGCAAAUGUUUUAUCGUACUUAAAAAAUGACCCAUCUUGUGAGUUCAAUGGCGAAGUAAGUUUAAAAAUAAACAUUGUCUAAGCCGAGAAAAUCAAAGCUAAAGUUUAUGUAAAUCAGGACAAAUCUUUAUCCAAUUUACAAACAUUGAUUAAACAUUCAUUUCUUUUGUAUUUUCCUUGUGAAUUAUUAAUGAAUUUUUUAAAAGUAAUUAUUUUGUAUAAUUAACAAAAAAAAAACCUCCAGUAUAUGUUUGUAUUAAUAAAUAUAUGUUGUCUGUCUUUGUGUUUUUAAAUUUUUAUGUGUGCUUUAUGUAAUUUAGUAAUUAACAUUAUUGUAAACUGGCUUCCCAGAAUCUUUAGCUUAGUGGUUAUUUUGGGACGUCGUUGUCCCAAGUAUUGUAAAAAAUCUCUUAUGUAUGUAUUUUUCUUGCAUAAUUUUAGCCAAAGAUUCUAAUGCAACUACCCCCAAAGCAACACCAAAAACUACAAGUGGUGUAGAAAGUUCAAGUGCUAUCUUUGGUCUUGUUCUUGCUUUUGCAUUUUCUUGGUAUGUAUAUAUUACUAUCUUGAAACAACUUGAGAAUACUAUGAUUUUUACAUCCAGUUCACCACCCUGUACUUUGACCGGUCCCUUAGUGAAUGCUAGUCUUUUAACUCAUUAAGCGGCAAGCUGUUACAAUGUUUCUACCCGCCUAAGGCGCAAGCAAUAUGGCGAAUAUGUGAUUGAAUUCAAGAG